CCUACGGGUGGCUGCAGUGGGGAAUAUUGGACAAUGGGGGCAACCCUGAUCCAGCCAUGCCGCGUGUGUGAAGAAGGCCCUCGGGUUGUAAAGCACUUUCAGUGAGGAAGAACGCCUGGUGGUUAAUACCCAUCAGGAAAGACAUCACUCACAGAAGAAGCACCGGCUAACUCCGUGCCAGCAGCCGCGGUAAUACGGAGGGUGCGAGCGUUAAUCGGAAUUACUGGGCGUAAAGCGCGCGUAGGUGGCUUGAUAAGCCGGUUGUGAAAGCCCCGGGCUCAACCUGGGAACGGCAUCCGGAACUGUCAAGCUAGAGUGCAGGAGAGGAAGGUAGAAUUCCCGGUGUAGCGGGGAAAUGCGUAGAGAUCGGGAGGAAUACCAGUGGCGAAGGCGGCCUUCUGGACUGACACUGACACUGAGGUGCGAAAGCGUGGGUAGCAAACAGGAUUAGAUACCCGGGUAGGC
rnacentral:rRNA from 1 species